rnacentral:rRNA from 1 species
UACGAAGGGGGCUAGCGUUGUUCGGAAUUACUGGGCGUAAAGCGCGCGCAGGCGGUCUUCCAAGUCAGUGGUGAAAGCCCGGAGCUCAACUCCGGAAUUGCCAUUGAAACUGUAAGACUUGAGGAUGAGAGAGGUGAGUGGAAUUCCCAGUGUAGAGGUGAAAUUCGUAGAUAUUGGGAAGAACACCGGUGGCGAAGGCGGCUCACUGGCUCAUAUCUGACGCUCAGGCGCGACAGCGUGGGGAGCAAACAGG